GUGCCUACAAUUUCUGCAUGCUUAUUUAAAUACAUAUUUCAUAGUCACUGGAAUAUAACUACAUGCUUCACUGACAUCAGUUCUUCCUGGAUCCCACAAGGAGGAAAUUUACCUGCUAAUGCAAUGCAUUUGGAGAGAGAGCAGAGAGCCGCAGCCCGGUUUAACAUGUGCAGUGCAUUCUUACUGCGUCUUCCUUCGGUAUCACAGAGCUUAUGGAUGUGGAAUCCUUCAAACUCAGCUCCUGGAGCUGUAGAAAUAGACCAGAUGCCGUGCUCUCCAGAAAGCUGGUUUGGUAACAGGUUUCAGCUGUGUGAACAUUCAAUUCCCUGAUCCAGGAGCAUGGACCUCAGAGUGAACAGGCUAAAAAGGGAUGCUGUGGACACUUUCUCCAUCAUUCACCUCUCCUUCUAAAGCUCUAGCACUGAGCGGUCCCAGUUCUAAAGAGCAGUCCUGUGUACCCCCAUUUAUGGUUUUUUAAUGUUCAAUUAAUAUUACGGAAACAAAUCCUUUCAGCAACUUCUAAAUCAAUUUUCUAAAAUCUGCUUGUCUCAGAAUUUACCAACAAAACAUACAGCUUUCUGAAGACGCUAAUGUUCACAGCCCUUUAUGCCACUUUAUCACACCUCAUGUUCUCAAAGCCCUGGAGCAAAAGGAAUUUUUUUUGUUUAUUUACAUUUCUGGGAAAGAAUUCCCACUUGCUUCUGUACCUUAUCAUUUUUUUUGCCAAAAUCAAACCUAAAAUUUAUAGAUAAUACCUUUUUCUUCAUUAAAAUCAUGAAAUAUGUUAAAAUCCUACCUGCUAAAAAAAAGGAGGGGGAAUUUCAUGUGGCUCAAGACAAAAGACAUUUUUCAUAAAAUUAGUUAAAUUAAAAAGUGAAAUCAAAAUAAGAAUGAAGUUGAAUUCCAGCUGUCAGCCAGGGGCCUCCUCUUCCAGUAAGUCACCAGACAGACAAUAAUGUGAACGCUGAU